GAUGUCUCAUAGGCAUCUCAGACGCCAAGUAGAAGUUUGGGAGCCACUUUAGCAGCUGUAUUCAGCCACUUCCAUUCCUUCUUUACUCCAAAAUAUACCUCAGCAGAGACAAAGCCGCACUCUUUGACAAGAUUUGUUUCACUGGAGACUCAAUGAUAACAAAAAAGAAGUAAACGCGGGUCAUGCUGUGACACAAGAUACCGGGUGGGCUUUUCUCUUUGAGGCCUGCGGACCCCGCCUUGUCCCGGCCUCCGCUUCUGUAUCCCCCUCAUAGGCAUUAUCUCAGCACUUGCCAAGCAGAGUAUGUGCCCAGUCUCCUUGCUUCCUCAAGUCUCCACCCAGACAGCUGGAGCUAAAGACUGGCUGACCAGAAGGAGCAUUUUAUGAACUUCGACCUUCCACCUAUUCUUCUGCAGGAAGAUAAAUAAAGAGGACUUCUAAGGAGGAGCAGCAGAGAGCCUGGUGCUGUCUGUGGGGAGAACUUUGGGACAAAUAUGCUUCUCUGAUGUCCAUUAUCUCAUCUGCUUCCUGCAACAUCCCUGUCAGACAGAUAGGACGCAGGGUUUUAUCCCCAUUUUACAGAUGAAGAAGGACUGCAGACAUGCUACCCAUUCGCCUACCUCAAAUGUCUUCUUCUCCACGAAGCCUUCUUCGUCAACCCACACGAGGCCUCAAAGUUCUUUGUGGUGUCUCUCUUGUCUCACUUACUGUGUUCUGUGUUGUUUUAAUAACUCCUGGGUCACAUGUCCCAUGUCUCAAAGACCUAUGGA